rnacentral:rRNA from 1 species
GACGAACGCUGGCGGCGUGCUUAACACAUGCAAGUCGAACGGAAAGGCCCUGCUUUUGUUGGGUGCUCGAGUGGCGAACAGGUGAGUAACACGUGAGUAACCUGCCCUUGACUUUGGGAUAACUUCAGGAAACUGGGGCUCAUACCGGAUAGGAGCUCCUGCUGCAUGGUGGGGGUUGGUAAGUUUCGGCGGUUGGGGAUGGAAUCGCGGCUUAUCAGCUUGUUGGUGGGGUAGUGGCUUACCAAGGCUUUGACGGGUAGCCGGCCUAGGAGGGUGACCGGCGACAAUGGGCCUGAGAUACGGCCCAGACUCCUACGGGAGGCAGCAGGGGGGAAUAUGGCACAGUGGCCGGAAGCCUGAUGCAGCAACGCCGCGUGCGGGAUGACGGCCUUCGGGUUGUAAACCGCUUUCGCCUGUGACGAAGCGUGAGUGACGGUAAUGGGUAAAGAAGCACCGGCUAACUACGUG